UGACGAUGCACUGACGUGGUGCUUCAGCUGUGGCCUGAAAGGUGAGAUGAUUUUCUCCCAGAAAAAAAUACAUUCAAAGCCAAAACAACACGCCAAUAUCCUCUGUACUGAUGAGUCAAGUGUCGAUUUUUAAAGCAACAAUGCACCUCAGGCCAGUCUGACACCGUGGUGCCGAUAUGAAGUCUAUGAACUUGAGCCAACAUUCUUAACUUAUCAUGUGGUACGUCACGACUCCUCAAGGCUGAAGAAGACCCAGGACCUCUUAUCCAUCCUCUGAAUAAAGUUUAUCACUCCUGGCUCAUAAAAUGACACUAUAUCUUUAUAAGUUUAUAUAAUCAUAUUUUGUUGAAUGGACAAUAUGUUUAAAUCCAAAGUAUUUUAAUAAUGUGUCCAAUACACUACAUUAAUGAAAGAUGGGUUAACAUUGAUGUUAUUCCUGUAAUGAUUUAUUUCAGAUCUUAAAUUACACUAGAUUAGUAUUUGUUGAACUUAAUAAUGUUAAUCUAUCAGUAUGAACACAUUAAUAUUGCCAUUUUAUUGUUAAUGAUUCAUAUUUUCACCUCACAUAAAUGUUUGACAUUUUACUUCACAUUAAGAAUAUUACCUCCCUAAGUUUCUGAGAGAAGGAGGGAUGUCUGAGGUAUUUUAAACUUGUCAAAUUCUGAUUUGUCUAAAUGUGUAAACAACAGUUAAUAAAAGCUGAUUCACUUCCUGGACUAGCCAGUUCUCAGCAGCUUCCUGGUUCAGCUGACCGGGUGAGCAAAGUACUUGGAACCAUCCUCUCUCUUGACUCAAGGUCAAAGCCUCUUUGCAAGUGGCAUCAGAUGCAACAACUCAUCAGAACCUGGCAGCAUCUUAUGGCCGGUGAUAAUUUAAUUCACAGGGAACUACGACUCUUUGAGUUUCCAGGAGCCAAUCCAUUUGGUGACAUCGCCAAUCUGGCUGCCUUUCCUCCGGACCGCCGAGAGCUGCCGUCACACAAGGGUAUUGUAGACCUGCACGCUGGCGUGGGAUGGCUUUAUGAAUAAUUGAUAGCUUGUUAAGCCAUACAGUCAAACUGAUUUGACAACAGACAUCACAAGAUCUCUCAGAUUCUUAAUAAGGUUUUGCUACAAAACAUCUUACUUACAUUCCAUCAUUCUGUUCAUUGUCUCUGUUAUCUUGUCCACCCAUCAUUCAUUAUAAUUAGUCAUGUAUAAUCAUUAGUUUAGAAAUAUAGAAUUAAAUUUAUUUUUAUAAACUAUA